AUGAACGCUGGCGGCGUGCCUAAUCCAUGCCAGUAGAACGCUGAAGCUUGGUGCUUGCCCCGAGCGGAUGAGUUGCGAACGGGUGAGUAACGCGUAGGUAACCUGCCUCUUAGCGGGGGAUAACUAUUGGAAACGAUAGCUAAUACCGCAUAAAAGUCGAUAUCGCAUGAUAUUGAUUUGAAAGGUGCAAAUGCAUCACUAAGAGAUGGACCUGCGUUGUAUUAGCUAGUUGGUGAGGUAACGGCUCACCAAGGCGACGAUACAUAGCCGACCUGAGAGGGUGAUCGGCCACACUGGGACUGAGACACGGCCCAGACUCCUACGGGAGGCAGCAGUAGGGAAUCUUCGGCAAUGGGGGCAACCCUGACCGAGCAACGCCGCGUGAGUGAAGAAGGUUUUCGGAUCGUAAAGCUCUGUUGUAAGAGAAGAACGAGUGUGAGAGUGGAAAGUUCACACUGUGACGGUAACUUACCAGAAAGGGACGGCUAACUACGUG
rnacentral:rRNA from 1 species